GUUUUUUUGUUAGUUUGAUUUUAGGUGCAGAGAGAGAGAGAGAGAGAGAGAUAUUUAGAGAGAGAGAGAGUGUGUUUGUUUUAAUAAUAUCUGUUUUUGUUUUUCUCUUUCAUCAUUUUUGUAGGUAUAUUUUGUGGAAGAAGACUUUGUAGCUUGACUUUGUGAAAGAACAUAAAAUUCAGGGACGGCCUUAAAGUUUAGAGGGAGUUAGAUUGAAAUCAUACAAGAAGUUUCAAUGGAGGUACAUGCCAAUGGAAAGAAUUACAAGGCUACUUGACGCUACAAUAUAUCAAAAGAAUUGAGGCAAGAGCAUUUAAGACAGCCAAUGGAAAGUUGAUAAAAAUUUGAGGUGUAAUGAGCAAAUAAAGGGUUUCCCUCACCAAGAAUCUCUAUCAUCAUCGCAAUAAUCUCUGUAAUCGCAGUCACUUAAAAUAUCUGCAUAAUGUGUUGAAGGAUUGAAAGUAAUAGCCUGUUUGGAAGGGUUGAAUUUAAUCAUCUGUUUUAGAAAGUAAACCCAUCUAUGGAUUGCCUUGUUCAUAGCAUGUGCUAAAUUUCAUACUUUUGUUACAUUCUCAGCAUAUUUGUGUAAAUAGAGGAUAGUGAUAUCAUUUUUUUAUUUUCAUCUUUGAUGUCUGUAUUUCAUUCCUUGUAGCCUAUAAGUAUCCCAAUCAAUCAAUCAAUGAAAUUUGCAACUGUUGAUGUUCAUGUAAUAUAUAGCUAUCCUAAUGGUGGAUGUUCUGUAUAUGUUUUUUCUUUUAAUGCCAAUCACUUUUGUCAAUCAAUAAAAAAAAAGUGGUACUAUGAAAUUGGAGAAGUGUACUUUAAGAUCUGUAAGUUUUCAAAAUGAUCUACAAUCAAUAAAAAAAACAGAUCUUUUCAAUAACAAACAAAAAAACUAGAAAAGGACAGCUUGUGAAGAUGUGACCCGUGAGCACAACUCACAAAGCAACAAUUUUGACAUUGUGCCAAUGAAAAAAAUGUGCUACAAUUACUGCAGUAUGGAAUUUAAAAAGGAAAAUGUGUCAAGAAGUUUUUAUUAGUAUUACAUGUCGGUGUUAGCUGAAAAAACUAAUACCAACCAAAUUAUACCAGCUUUACUCCAGAAGUUUUGUGAAGUGGGGAUAAUCUCCCAACGGGA
rnacentral:lncRNA from 1 species